CAUUUAUUUCUAGUUCAUGAAAAACACGAAAAUAACAACAACAAUAAUAAUAAUGCAAACAUUUCUUAUGUAUUUACUAUAUUCCAAGCACUAUGCUAGAGAAACUGAAAAUUAGAUAAGGUAUUACUACUAUUCUCAAAAAACUUGCCGUCUAUUGCAGGUGGGGUAUAAGACAUGAAUUGGGGUAGCUAUCAUAAUAUUAUGUGAGAGUUAUAAAUGGGGAAAGUUCAUUACCAGCCAAGGAGAUAGUUAGGUUUCCAGAAAGAGUUAAGUUGGGUUUAAGGAAUGGCUAUUAAUUCAGUAGGUAAAGAGUGGGAAGACCUCAUACCUCUCAACUCAGCUAAGAUGACAGGAAAAGAUAAUGUUAUAGUAUAUGAAGUACAUGAACAAGUUAUAAUAUAUGAAGAUAAUGAAAUAUUAUUGUUCUACAAAAAAUUAUGAACAAGCUGAUUUUAGAAAGGCCUGGAAAGAUUUAUAUGAACUAAUGCAGAGUGAAACAAACAGGACCAGAAAUACAUUGUUCACAAUAACAGCAAGAAUGUGCUGUGAUCAACUAUGAAGACUGGUUUUUCGCAAUGGUUCAUUGAUCCAAAGCACUUCCAAUAGACUUUGGACAGAAAAUGCCAUCUGCAUCCAGAAAAAGAACUAUGGAGACUGAAUGUAAAUCAACACAUGCUAUGUUCACUUCUUUUUUUCUGCUUUUUUUUUUUUUCUUUCCUAUGGUUUUUCCCUUUUGGUCUGAUUUUUUUCUCUCAAUAUGAUUCAUAAAGCAAUGUGAAUUAAAAAUAAAUACAUAGUACUUAAAAAAAGUGUGAAGGAGCAUUCUAGUCAUAUGAAGAAUGACUUGACUGGCACAAGAGGGAGAACAGAGAUUGCUUCUGUUUGGUUAGGUCAGGGAGUGGGAAUUUAGCAGUUACAGCGUUUUUAUACUUGGUAGGGGGUAAUCCGUUCCUGCUCCCUAGGAUAGGAGGUAUGGCAAUUAUAGCAUAGCUUGAUCUCAUAAAGAUUAUAUAGAGAUGAGGAAAUAGGCUCAAAGUCUUGCUCUGAAGAGGCACCUUGUAAUGGAAGGAUCCCCAGGUUCUUCUUCUUUUUUUUUAAUCAAGAUUUGAUUUUUAAAUUUUAUUUAAUAAUAACUUUAUAUUGACAGAAUCCAUGCCAGGGUAAUUUUUUUACAACAUUAUCCCUUGCACUCGUUUCUGUUCCGAUUUUUCCCCUCCCUCCCUCCACCCCCUCCCCUAGAUGGCAAGCAGUCUUAUAUAUGUUAGAUAUGUUGCAGUAUAUCCUAGAUACAAUAUAUGUUUGCAGAACUGAACAGUUCUCUUGUUGCACAGGGAGAAUUGGAUUCAGAAGGUAAAAAUAACCCGGGAAGAAAAACAAAGAUGCAGAUAGUUCACAUUCGUUUCCCAGUGUUCUUUCUUUGGGUGUAGCUGCUUCUGUCCAUCAUUUAUCAAUUGAAACUCAGUUAGGUCUCUUUGUCAAAGAAAUCCACUUCCAUCAGAAUACAUCCUCAUACAAUAUCGUUGUCGAAGUGUAUAAUGAUCUCCUGGUUCUGCUCAUCUCACUUAGCAUCAGUUCAUGUAAGUCUCGCCAAGCCUCUCUGUAUUUAUCCUGCUGGUCCCUGGGUUCUUGAGGGAUGGCACAAACUCUGGCAAGAUGUCCUGAGCUUGACAAUGUGCCCAGUUUCAGAAGAUGAGCCCAUAAGUUACACAAUGCCACAGUUGGCCACACAAUGCCAUAAGCUGGCCCUCGGCCCAUGGUUGCAACUAGCUCCCUAGCACUGAAGUCGGGACUCCAAAAACAAGUCCUUUUCCUGCCCUCCUUCACCUUCUCCCCCAAACCCACUUAGUGACAUUACAGGACAUAAGAGGUAGGCAACAGAGACAAUGAGGUGCUGAGUAAAGAGACCUAUUUGCAAGAGAGAGGUUCUGACAACUGGCUCAAGGUCACAAGGAAGAUAAAGUACCCAUCAGUUACUGGAGAUUGGAACUGAAGAGAUCCAGGAACUGAGUUAGAACACCAGGGGCAAGAAUCUCUUUGCUAAAGCACCAUCCAGUGCUCUACCCACUGGGCCACUUAGCAUCCAUCAAGAUGAGCCUGCUGUGAUAAAACUGAGUAGGAAAACCAUAGGUCCUAAGUCCAUGCUAAAACCCAGGUCCAGGGUUCCUGAAUCUUUAUUUAAUGAUUAGCCUGACUUCAUGGCAUGAAUUACACAGUAGUUAAGGCUUUAUUUUCUACACUCCUUUGCUGCGUUGAAGGAGGGUUGGAAAUGGGGAACUAUACAAAACGUGUUGUACUUUUUUUCUUGAACUCCUAGGUUUGGAUUUAAGAAAACCUCAGGACCUUCCACUGAUCCGGGAGAGAGCUCUGCAGGCCACAAUCCUGUCUUCCCACUGGCAGCUGUUCAAUUCCACAGCAAGGAGGUUGAAAGAGGAUUCUCUUCACCACAGCAAAAGAAGCAACCCCGUCCAAAGCCAGGCACUGAGCUGCUGCCCAGCUAUCAGCAUCAUUGCCUGUCAGAUGGAAUUGGAAGAAGGGAAGAAGGAAGAAGGAAGAAGGAAGAAGAUGGAGCAGUUAGAACUGAUUUCCAGAUUGCCUCUAAGGAGGCCAUUCUAAGGGCUCUCUGUUUGGGAUGAUCGCACUCUAAAGUCUGCCCUAUAACUCCCUGAAACUCUAAACCAUGUUCUCACUUUAGAUGGGCUACACAGGUGACUUAGCUAGGGAUGAGAAGGGAUAAGUGCUCCUUAUAGCUUGAAUAAACAACUAUAACUAGGGAUUUCCAAAGGGCAUUCACACCCUUAUUUCUUCUCCAUCUCUUCUCCCAUCUUAAAUGCUUUGAGCAAUAUCCAAUAAACACUGUAAUAGUACAUAAUGUCUCUCAUAUAAUAGACACUCAAUAAAUGCUUCAUUGAUUUCAA